rnacentral:rRNA from 1 species
AGAGUUGAUCAUGGCUCAGGAUGAACGCUGGCGGCGUGCCUAACACAUGCAAGUCGAACGAAGCACUUAGCGGAACCUCGGGGAAGCUGUGUGACUGAGUGGCGGACGGGUGAGUAACGCGUAUGCAACCUGCCCCCAUCAGGGGAAUAGCCCGCCGAAAGGCGGAUUAAUGCCCCAUAGGCCCAGGGCGCCGCAUGGCGCUAUGGGUAAAGCUCCGGCGGAUGGGGAUGGGCAUGCGUGCCAUUAGCUAGUUGGGGCGGUAACGGCGCACCAAGGCGACGAUGGCUAGGGGGUCUGAGAGGAUGGUCCCCCACACUGGUACUGAGACACGGACCAGACCCCUACGGGAGGCAGCAGUGAGGAAUAUUGGUCAAUGGGCGGAAGCCUGAACCAGCCAAUGCCGCGUGCAGGAUGACGGCCCUACGGGUUGUAAACUGCUUUUCCCCGGGAAGAAUAAGCCCCUCGUGAGGGGUGAUGCCGGUACCGGGGGAAUAAGGAUCGGCUAACUCCGUGCCAGCCGCCGC